GGCCUAACACAUGCAAGUCGAACGGUAACAGAAAGCAGCUUGCUGCUUUGCUGACGAGUGGCGGACGGGUGAGUAAUGUCUGGGAAACUGCCUGAUGGAGGGGGAUAACUACUGGAAACGGUAGCUAAUACCGCAUAACGUCGCAAGACCAAAGAGGGGGACCUUCGGGCCUCUUGCCAUCGGAUGUGCCCAGAUGGGAUUAGCUUGUUGGUGGGGUAACGGCUCACCAAGGCGACGAUCCCUAGCUGGUCUGAGAGGAUGACCAGCCACACUGGAACUGAGACACGGUCCAGACUCCUACGGGAGGCAGCAGUGGGGAAUAUUGCACAAUGGGCGCAAGCCUGAUGCAGCCAUGCCGCGUGUAUGAAGAAGGCCUUCGGGUUGUAAAGUACUUUCAGCGGGGAGGAAGGGAGUAAAGUUAAUACCUUUACUCAUUGACGUUACCCGCAGAAGAAGCACCGGCUAACUCCGUGCCAGCAGCCGCGGUAAUACGGAGGGUGCAAGCGUUAAUCGGAAUUACUGGGCGUAAAGCGCACGCAG
rnacentral:rRNA from 1 species